GCGGCGGACGGGUGAGUAACACGUGGGUAACCUGCCUGUAAGACUGGGAUAACUCCGGGAAACCGGGGCUAAUACCGGAUGGUUGUCUGAACCGCAUGGUUCAGACAUAAAAGGUGGCUUCGGCUACCACUUACAGAUGGACCCGCGGCGCAUUAGCUAGUUGGUGAGGUAACGGCUCACCAAGGCGACGAUGCGUAGCCGACCUGAGAGGGUGAUCGGCCACACUGGGACUGAGACACGGCCCAGACUCCUACGGGAGGCAGCAGUAGGGAAUCUUCCGCAAUGGACGAAAGUCUGACGGAGCAACGCCGCGUGAGUGAUGAAGGUUUUCGGAUCGUAAANCUCUGUUGUUAGGGAAGAACAAGUGCCGUUCAAAUAGGGCGGCACCUUGACGGUACCUAACCAGAAAGCCACGGCUAACUACGUGCCAGCAGCCGCGGUAAUACGUAGGUGGCAAGCGUUGUCCGGAAUUAUUGGGCGUAAAGGGCUCGCAGGCGGUUUCUUAAGUCUGAUGUGAAAGCCCCCGGCUCAACCGGGGAGGGUCAUUGGAAACUGGGGAACUUGAGUGCAGAAGAGGAGAGUGGAAUUCCACGUGUAGCGGUGAAAUGCGUAGAGAUGUGGAGGAACACCAGUGGCGAAGGCGACUCUCUGGUCUGUAACUGACGCUGAGGAGCGAAAGCGUGGGGAGCGAACAGGAUUAGAUACCCUGGUAGUCCACGCCGUAAACGAUGAGUGCUAAGUGUUAGGGGGUUUCCGCCCCUUAGUGCUGCAGCUAACGCAUUAAGCACUCCGCCUGGGGAGUACGGUCGCAAGACUGAAACUCAAAGGAAUUGACGGGGGCCCGCACAAGCGGUGGAGCAUGUGGUUUAAUUCGAAGCAACGCGAAGAACCUUACCAGGUCUUGACAUCCUCUGACAAUCCUAGAGAUAGGACGUCCCCUUCGGGGGCAGAGUGACAGGUGGUGCAUGGUUGUCGUCAGCUCGUGUCGUGAGAUGUUGGGUUAAGUCCCGCAACGAGCGCAACCCUUGAUCUUAGUUGCCAGCAUUCAGUUGGGCACUCUAAGGUGACUGCCGGUGACAAACCGGAGGAAGGUGGGGAUGACGUCAAAUCAUCAUGCCCCUUAUGACCUGGGCUACACACGUGCUACAAUGGACAGAACAAAGGGCAGCGAAACCGCGAGGUUAAGCCAAUCCCACAAAUCUGUUCUCAGUUCGGAUCGCAGUCUGCAACUCGACUGCGUGAAGCUGGAAUCGCUAGUAAUCGCG
rnacentral:rRNA from 1 species